ensembl:snRNA U6 U6 spliceosomal RNA
GUGCUUGCUUCAGCAGCACAUAUACUAAAAUUGGAAUGAUACAGAGACGAUUAGCAUAGCCCCUGUGUAAGGAUGACAUGAAAUCCGGCUCUGUGCUUAAUUGCUAU